UAGAGUUUUAGUUAAUGUUUUCCUGAAUGGUUUCUAAAAACUCCUAAUUUGUUAGGAUUAAAAGAGUCCUGAGGUCAAAUACAUUCAGACACCAGUGGCUGAAACAGGUUAAACAGGUUUCUUCACUGUGUGACUUCUCAGAGCCUUUUUAUGACAAUUACACAAACACUCUCCAAAUGGAAAAUUUGGUAUGCAGUGUCCCAAACUUAUUUAUUUUUUCAUUCUUUCGUGGAGAUUCCACGGGCUGGGAUGGAGGAGCAAACUCGGGGAAAUGUGAAGUCAGACCAUGUCUGGAAGGAUGGGAGUUGUCUGAAAUGGAGAAGCCUGAUGGUCCCCAGGAGCAACGAGUAAUGAGUUGGUACAGGUUGGGCACUCCACUGGGAAGCUCCUGUUACAGACAGCCGGGAAAUCCUGCCCCUUCUAACCCAAGAUGCUGCCAUCUUGAAUAUAUGGCCUCCAUGGAUGCAGAAGAAGGAGCUGAACCAAUGUGGACAAGGCUGCAAGGUGUUUUCUGGCCAGGCCUGGACAGGGUUCACAGUCCUGUGGCCAGAACCUGGGCUCAUGGCCCCAACUUAUGUUCAAGGGGGGGCGGUUUAGGAGUGUGGUCCCCCAGAAGUAAGAUAGGUAUGCAUCAGGCCAGUCUCCACCGAAAGAAUGGGGCCACACUAGUGUGA
rnacentral:lncRNA from 12 species